UUUAGAGGAGCCAGAACAUCUCAGUGUACCACCCAGGCUAAUGUUGGAGUGAUAAAUUUAAAUCAUCUUGUUGGUGUUGUCCACACAAAUUAUUUGGAAUAUAUCAAGAGGGAAAUGAAUGGGGCUCUUCAACUUUUUUUGUGAAACACACUAACAAUUGGGUAACGAGAGCAUACCAAAACAAGGUAUGUUUAGUCUACUCCAUAGAAGAAGAAAGAAGGAAACUGUGGUCACAUGCAUUAAGCAUUGGAAGACGCCUUAACUGCAUUUUAGAGCACCACGUCCCAGUGUUUAGGAAAGCGAAGCGAGCCUUCUACGCUUCACAGACUAGAAUGAGUAUGUGAGCGCUUCAUCGCUUAAAGCAUGAAGUGGGGCCUCAACGCUUUUUUCUGCUUCACGCUUCCCUGAACACUGCCACAUCCUUCACUGCCACAUCCUUUUAUUAAUAUUCAAACACCCUACCUGUUAUUUCAUUUUUGUCUUAAUUGAGAUGUCAAUAUUGCUGUUUAGCUAUACAGGAUUUACCCAAGUCUUUGGUCUGCAAUAUACACUGUGUCAGUCCAAAGUUUCUGAAAAAGGAGAAAAAGCGGCAGCAGAUAGACAAAGCGACCAGCUAGUUUUCUCUAAAUGAGCAUCUUUCUUAGGCAAAAUGGUCUGGGCGAAGGGAUAUUGGAAGUUGAUAGAUCUGUUAAGCAAAGCACAAGAAUGACCUUAAUGGCUUUAGUUUGGAGGUAUAUGGCAAUGAGAAAGAUGCUCAUGAGGUACCGAAUACAGCAAAUAGGUUAAAUCAUGAUGUCAGCAUCAUGAAAGUAGAGACGAUCCAUGACUCUCUUCAUAGUGCUGCGCUUUGCACUACCAUGGCUGAGCUCUUGCAAAUGGGGAAAUUUGGACCACUGUCGGAUGAAUUUUUCCAGGUAUACCCAAACCUGCUAGACUUACACGAUGCCUGAAGACUUUGUAGCUAAAUUUGAAGAGAUCAUGUCUGGUAGCCUCAAACUCUCACUCACGAGGAACGAUACAAGCUUUCAUGAGAAGCUGCUACACAGAUGUUCAUGGAAUAUUCUGACCUCGAUAAGGUUUUGACUGGUGAAACCAGACUGGACAGGAGACGUCGGAAGGGCCCUGGAUUAAUCUUAUAAUGCUAUGCUGGUAACACUACAAAUAUAAGAAGACAACUCAUGUGUGCUGUCUAAUUAUGCUGAAUGUCUUGUUUUUAAUUGUUCUGUUAUCAAACUUUUCUCAAGGUUAUAGUAAACUUUUACAAUUAUAAUAUGACAUGUUCUUUGAA